AGGGUCCCUGGAGUGGAGCCGGCGGGGCGUGCCCAGCUGCAGUGCCUUGGGCCAACGUUAGGACUUCUCUGCGGAGGCCAGAGGACGCGGCCACCGCCCCUCCCGCUGCCUCUGCGCUCCUAGGCCCCGCGGGAGCCUUCUACUUUCCAAGCCCCGAGACCGGAAGUGGGGUGCGCCUCCCCCGAACGGCCGCCAUCUUCCCUCUAACGGCACCACGGUUUUUCUCGUUAUUUGCUUCCAGCACAGAAGAGUGGCUGCAGGUGCAAGCUUUAUCGCCCUGGUGGGACCUCCAGUACCAUCACCACAUAAAGUGGUGACAGCUGCCAUCCUUGUCUUUCCUCAGAUUAAAAGCCGGAAUUUUUCAACUUUUCACCGCUGUGCCUGUUCAAGACUACCUGUCUCCAGGAAGGGAAUGUGGAGGCAGAAGUGAUGGCUCAGGGUUGCUGACAAUCUGGUUACAGAUCAAAAGUUUCAACUUAAAGCCAAAAACAACACUGCAAAGCAGAAUAAAGUUUGGAAAAAACACCUACUGUCAGAGAAAUGGCACUAACUCAACCCAGAGAGAAACCCCAUGAAUACAGUUUGUGUGGAAAAGCGAUCAGAAGCAAUUCUAACCUUGUUUGGCCCAAGAGAAAUUACACAGGAGAGAAAUGAAAUGAAUGUAAAGAAUGUGGGAGAGUGUUUAGUUAUCCUUCAUCCCUUCAGACCCAUGUGUGAUCUCAUGCUGGCAAGAAACCCUGUGAAUGUUUUCAGCGUGGGAAAGCUCGUGGGUCAUCACUCGUCCUUUAUGACACAUGUGCGAAUCCACACUGGAGAGAAACCGUAUGAGUUUAACCAAUGUGGGAAACUCUUCAGAUCCAGCUUGAGCCUUGCUAUACUCAAGAGGAUACACAAUGGGAGAAGCUGUAUAAAUGCAAUGACUGUGGAAAGGCUUCGUCAGGAGCAGGAACCUGACCAUGCAUAAGAGAGUGCACACCAGGGAGGGACUAUCUGUGUGAAGAUUGUGGCAAAGCCUUUAGCAGGAGAUUGCAUCUGAUGGCACACAUGAGAACCCAUAAUGGGGAGAAGCUUUACCAUUGCAGCAACCAUGGAAAAGCCUUCAAUAGGAGCUCUAACCUGACUGCUCACAAGAGGGUACAUACAGGGGAGAUUUACCAGUGCGGCUACUGUGGGAAACUUCAGGAGUCACCCAUCCCAUAAGAAACAUGUGAGUGCUCACAGUGGAGAGAAGCCCUAGGAUUAGAAUCACAUGGGAAAGCCCCAGUUGAUCUCACAUGUGAGCAACUCUGUGAAUAUUGUUAGUGUAAGAAAGCCCUCCAUGGGGACUUCAGUUCCUGCACAAAGAAAUUCAGGGUAGGAGAGAAACCUUAUGAGCGUUAUAAAUACGGAAUUGCUUUCUUCAGGGUCUUAUCCUCAAAAUGGAAGUCUAACUCAUUAGUUUUCAGAUCGUAUUUGUGAAUAAAAGCAUUUAAGGCCAUAGAUAUCCUCUCAAUAUCCCUUUAGCUACAUUACAUGGGUUUCGACCUAAGGUAUUUUUAUUUUGGUUUAAUUCUAAAUACUGUUUCUAUUAGAUGUAUUUUAACUCACAAUGUUGAUUUCCUUUUUGAGCCUAUCAAAAUACAACUUGAUUCAAAUUUCACCUGAACUCUCUCCUUCCCCCAGAUUUUAUGAUAUCCAUAGGUCUUCCUUUGUUUGGUAGGAUACCCAUGGUUCCUUAGGUGUGUGGUCUCCCUUGUUGCAAUGAGCCAGUAAACCUGACUUUGUUAGACUAUAGAUUUUGUCCCGGUAGUCUUUGGGUGAUUGUGUUGGGGCAAUAACAUGCAGUCAUAAAUAUGUUCUACUCUCUUGUCCUCUAAAGUGUUUCUAAAAAGUCCUUCUGAAAUGUCUUCUAAAAUAUUUUGUUUUCCAUUAUUGAUUUUUUUAUAUGUAGUAUCAGGAGGGGUCCAAUUUAAUUUCCUCCCUGGUAGAUAACCAGUUUUCCUAGAACUCUAAUCUGAAAGUCAGUCCCCGUUUGAAGUUUCUGUGUGCAUGUUUUUAUGUUUCUGGGCCUUCCAUUCUGUUAUAAUCAAAUUUGUUAAUCCUGUACCAAUAUAGCACCAUCUUUAAUAACUUUAUUCUAUUUUUUAACAUCUGAGAGACAGAUCCCUACAACUUGUUCUUCAAGAGUAGCUUCUCUCUUCUGUGCCUUUCAUUUCUUCAUAUGUAUUUUAUAAUAAGCUUACACAAUUCCACAAAAAAUCAUAUUGGCAUUUCAUUAGAUCAGUACUGGUAGAAUUGUUAAAUCUUUCAGGCCUUAAACUCAAUAUCUUCAUUUAUUUAGUCAUUCUCUAAUGUCUUUCAGUAAAAUUUUAUACAUUUUAUAAAUAUAUAUAUUUAAAAUGUUAUUUUCUUAAAAAUAUGAAGUGUGGACAUUGGCUUCUUAGUAUCUAAAAAAAGCAUUUAUAUUGACAAACAUGGGUCUUUUUUUUUUUUUUAAAGAUUUUAUUUAUUUAUUUGACAGAGAGAGACACAGCGAGAGAGGGAACACAAGCAGGGGGGAGUGGGAGAAGGAGAAGCAGGCUCCCCGCUGAGCAGGGAGCCUGAUGCGGGGUUUGAUCCCAAGACCCUGAGAUCAUGACCUGAGCCGAAGGCAGACGCUUAAUGACUGAGCCACCCAGGCACCCGACAAACAUGGGUCUUGAGGGAAAAGAAGGACCAGAAAAAAGCAGCCUCCAACAUUCAGGGAACAUGCAUUGCUGGUGGGAUUGUAAAAUGAUGUGUGGUCAUUUUGAAGAAGUUUGGCGAUUUCUUAAAAUAAAUUUACCAUUUGACCCCCAAGAGAAUGAAAAAGAUAUGUCCACACAAAAACUUGCCCACAAAUGUUCAUAGCAUGUUUCAUAAUAGCCAAAAGAGGAAACCCUGAAAGUCCAUCAACUGGAAAAUAAGUAAAUAAAAUCUAGCUAUCCAUACAAUGCACUAUUUGGCAAUACAAAGAAAUGAAGUUCUGAUACAUGCUACAACAUGAAUGAACUUUAGAAACAUGCUCAGUGAAAGAAACCAGUCACAAGGGACCGCAUAUUGUAUGAUUUCAUUUAUAUGAAAUAUCCAGAAUAGGGAAAGGCAUAGAGACAGAUAGUAGGCUCGUGUUUGCCUGGGCUGGGGUUGGGAACCUGAUUAAACAGGCGUGAAGGAUCUUGUUGGGUUGAUAGUAAUGUUUCUAAAACUGGUUUGUGCUUAUAGUUGCACAACUACGUUCACUAAAAAUCAUUUGAAUUAUACAUUUAAAAUGGUUGAGUUUUAUGGUAUGUAAACUAUAUCUCACUAAAACUAUUAUAGAAGGAGAUUCCAUUGUGCAUUCAUUUUGAUAAAUCAAGCUACAGUCUCCAUUGUGGUAGGAUAUGUCCAUAAUACUUAGCUUUGAAGUCAUCUUUGCAAUAGUGGUGUUCCUUGUAGGGGACAAUAGCAUGAUCUUUUCUCAAAUGAUGUGUGAGUUCAACUGAUGAAUCCUUUUUGGAGUAGGUGCAUGACUGAAGAGUAUGACCCUCUUUAGCUCAUUUAUUGGGAUUCAGGUGAGGUAUUUAUUUAGCUUGGAGAUGUCGUCUUUUUCAGGGUCUUCCUCCUUUUACUCAGUAGUUUCAAUGCCACACUUCCUAAUUUGGUUCUCUUCCUUGUGUUCUUUAAAAGCCUUGUUGGACUUUUUGUGAGACCUUGAAUGCUUUUCUUUCGUAGGCUGUGGGUAAUUCAAACUAAAGCGGGAUGUAAGGUUUCUGGAGAAGGGCUAGAGGUAUAUGUAUCUUGUGGUCCUUAUAGAUUAUAAUUCUCUUUGUGUGUUGAGUUUGGCUUGUAGCAAACUUGCUAUAUUCUUAUUCUAAUAACUGAUGUGUAGCUCUUUUGAGGUUUUCUGUAGAUAAUCAUAUCUACCAAUACAGGCAGAUUUCCCCUGCUCCUUUUUAAUUUGUAUACCUUUCUUAUGCUUUUGUUGCCCUCUGGCUGGGACUUGAACCAUAUUGACUAGAAGCAGUCCUAGGUAUUCUUUUUUUUUUUAAAAGAUUUUAUUUAUUCAUAAGAGACAGAGAUGGAGAGAGGCAGAGGGAGAAACAGGCUCCCAAGGAGCAGGGAGCCCGAUGCGGGACUUGAUCCCAGGACCCUGGGAUCAUGACCCGAGCCGAAGGCAGACGCCCAACCAUCUGAGCCACCCAGGCGCCCAGUCCUACGUAUUCUUGUCUUCUUCCUGAUCUUAAAGGGCUUUUUUUUUUUUCAUAUUUCAUCUUUAAGUGUGGUGUUCUCUGUAACAUUUUUAUAGAUAACUUUACUAGGAUGAGAAAGUUUCUUUCUUUUUCCUAGGAUGUUGGCAUCCUUUCUCAUGAACAGAUGUUGAAUUUUAUCAAAUGUUUGUUCAGCAUCUCCUGAGAUGAUUAUAUUUGUUCACUGAUAUAUUUCAAAACUCCUAGAACAAUGGUAGGACACAUGGUAGGCACUCAAUAAGUAUUUGUUGAAUGAAUGAGUGAAUGAAUACAUGUAACAUCUCUAACAUGUUUGUGUGGUAAAUUACUUUAAUUGAUUUUUCACUGUGAAAUUAACUUUGCAUUCCUGAAUAACUUGGCCAUCACAUAUUAGUUACACAUCAUUGUUCCUGGCUUCCUAAUAUGUUAGGAUUUUUGCAUCUUUGAGUAAGAUUGGCCUGCUGUUUUUCUUUCUCAUGUUGUCCUUUUGUUAUUGUUUCAAGAAUAUGGUGGCCUUAUAAUACUGGUUGGGAAAAUUCUCCCAAAGUCCAUUCCUUCACCUAGAUUCACCAGUUGUCAACAUUUUUUGACAGUUACAGCUUUUUUCAUUUGUGUAUAAUUUUAUUUUAUGGGUGAGCCAUUACAGACAUGAGACUUCUUUAACAUUUAUCCUAAGAACAAGGACAUUGUCAGGAACUCAAAGAUCUGAGAUUUCCCCCUACUUAUAGGUUAACAAGUUAGCCUGCCACAGUUUCAUGGAUGUUGGCCAAAGACACCAGACUUCUGGGUCAGAGACCAAGGACUUUAUUACAGGACAGGAGGCAGUACAAGCUUCAUAUUGCUGUCAAUUCCUCUUGACUCCCAAGUCCUACAGGGGUGACAUGAAGUGGGUUUGUAUCACAGCUUGGAGCCCCAAGCUUUUCUAAGGAGCUGCAAACAAACGUGCUUGUUCUUUGCCCCAGAGGGAGACAUUAUCUUUAUUACACUGAACAACAAAAAACCUGCCCUCUGCUCUAAGGAUGUUAUAUAAACAUCCUUGGAGACAUAGUCCAGAACAGAGUAAGAUGUGCACACGUGAGCUACCCAUGAAGAAUUGCCUUCCCACAGACAUUUUCCUCUGUAAUCAAAAUAUCAUUAAUACACUGAUGAAAUUUAGCAUUAACAAAAUAAUGUUACUAGCACACAAACUAUAAUCAAAUCCCUCCCAUCCCACAAACAUCCUUUAUUGAGGAUUUGGAACAUAAUUUAGUUAUGAAAAUGAUUUUAAGAAAUCUUAUGUGUGAAGCUCUGGGAUAAUAGACAUGUAAUAGAGCCAUUUGGCAAAAGUCACUUUUUCAACUCAAAAGAAUCAGGGCAGAAACCACACAGAAAAGUCAUAUAUUUUUUUCUUCCACAAAAGAAGGUGUGAAAGCCUUCAUAAGCACUCAUCCUUGUAUGCAACAUGUGAGGACAACACUGGAGGAAAGUCCUUUUAGUAUAAUGAAUAUGGAAGGUCUUCAGGUAUGGAUCUUCACUUGCUAUUCACAAGAGAACUUGUUCUGAGGGAGAGAGGCUAUGUCCAUGUUGUGAACAUGGCAUUGCCUUUGUGCUUACCCCUAACUCAUUAAUUUGUUUUUUUCUUUCAUAAUAUAAAUACUCAAGAAUACUCAUAUCCCUCAAAAUGCCCUCUAAAUUUUUGAACAAGCUGUGAUAGGUAAUAUUUGUAUUUAUUAUGGCUCGGUUGUAAAUAUUGUCUCAUUUCCAUUUUGAUGACUUCUUGGACUCAUGGGUUGUUCGGGAAUAUGUUUUCAAGAUGCAGUGCCAGGAGUUCUUUGUUGCCUUGUUUUUCAUUUCCCAUUUAACUGCCUUGUGGUCAGAGUCAGUGAUAUAUGUAGGAUAUGGAUUCUUUGGCAUUUGUUGGAACUUUCUCUCUAGCCCAGUGUAGCAGACACUGCUGGCUGCCUCUAUAUCCAUUCUCCUCAUUCUUCUUACUCUCAGAACUUGGAUUUUGCUCAAUUUGUUAAUGUUUACUAUAAAAACAAAACAAACAAACCAACCAAAACCAAAAACAAAAACCCAAGCAGCUCUCUCUCUUAUUCUUUCUUGAAGGAGUGGUCAUGUCCCAGAGCUCUGGCCCGUGGCAGGUAGGCAGAGUCACUGGUGUAGCUUCUGGGAAAGCUCUUGAAAAGGAGACAGUCCCAUGCUUGUUAUUUUCACUUUUUGUUCAUGGUCCUUCCUCCUCCUUUCUGCCUAGAACCUGGAUACAGAACCUGGAGUUGGAAGACCUUACUCUGUAACCUGUAGGCAGAAGCCACAGGUAGAGAUGGUGCAGCCAGAACAUAGGGCUCCUUGCUCCCCAGGGGGUUUCUUGAGUGACUACAGCAGUCCUGAACUGCUUAUUUCUAGACUCAUGUUACAUGAGAAAAGAGAUACUCUUUUAAAACAAAGUCCUUACUGUAGUUUCAUAGUGGGGGAGCUAUCAGAAAUUUGUGUGGCAGCCAUGAGAACCUGCCCCUUAGGUAUCUACCUGGGGGCUUAGUUGGCCAAUGGCCCUGGUUGCUACCCAUCCCAGGACCUACCUUUGGUGUUGUGCUAAGACUACUCCUAGCAGUGACUAAGCAUGGCAGGAGUAAUAGUGCAAGCCCAUUCCUCUGGGUAGUAGGGCUCUUCUAGUGAUGGCUGUUGCUCAAGAACACUCCACUGGCCUGGCCCAAACUUGGCUAGACUGUGCUGAGGUUUGAGACUCUCCCUACCCACUCCUCCUUGGCCCUUCCCCCUUUUUCCUGAUUGAAUUUAACAAUAAAUAUCAAAAUAUCAAUAUAAGUCCUUGAUGACCUUGUCAAAAUUGGUUCUGUGACCUACUGCCCACAAAAGCCCGAUUGAAAUGGGUUCAGGACAAACUAGGAGAAAAAUUGGAGAUAGUAAAGAGGAGGAUUUUUUAAUCUUUAUUUAAUCUAAUUAACUUAGUAUUAUUAGUAAAGUCAUGCCAGUUUUUUUUAUUAGUAUCUGUUAUGUAUUUCUCAAUUCUUUUCAUUUAAACCUGUGUACUUAAGCUUAGAUGUGUCUCUUGUAAAUAGGAUGUAGCUGUAUAAAAAAAUCCAAUCUGAAAAUAUCUUUUAGUUUGUAAACCAGUCUAGUCUUUUAUUAUGAUAUCUAAUAUUUUGGAUUGAUUUCUACCACCCUAAUAGUUGUGAUUUCUGUUCUG